AUUUUUUAAAGGGAAAACUUCAAAAACCCCUUCUGUGGUUUCGUAGUUUCUUAUUUUGCUCCCCUGUGGUUUAAAAUAUAUCAAAUUGCCCCCCUGUGGUUUCGUUUUUAUCUUUUCGGUAGCUUUUUCGUUAAUAUUUCAUUAAAUUAUAUACAAAAAACUUCAGAUACCCAUCUAGAUUUAUCAAAUAUUUACUUUAAUACCCUUUAAUUUUAACUUUAUCACUGAUUUAAAAAAAAAAAUAAUAAAAUUGAUAAGAAAAAGAGAAAAAAAAAAAUCACAGGGGGGCAAAUUGAUACAUUGUAAACUACAGCGGGAAAAGUGAGAAACUACGAAAUUACAGGAGUUUUUUUGGAAGUUUUUCCUUUUUAAAAUAUUAGGAAACGAGAACUCGGAAUUUUGUUUUUUUGUUAAG
rnacentral:lncRNA from 1 species